AGCGAACGCUGGCGGCAGGCUUAACACAUGCCAGUCGAACGGGCAUAGCAAUAUGUCAGUGGCAGACGGGUGAGUAACGCGUGGGAACGUACCUUUUGGUUCGGAGCAACACAGGGAAACUUGUGCUAAUACCGGAUAAGCCCUUACGGGGAAAGAUUUAUCGCCGAAAGAUCGGCCCGCGUCUGAUUAGCUAGUUGGUAGGGUAAUGGCCUACCAAGGCGACGAUCAGUAGCUGGUCUGAGAGGAUGAUCAGCCACAUUGGGACUGAGACACGGCCCAAACUCCUACGGGAGGCAGCAGUGGGGAAUAUUGGGCAAUGGGCGAAAGCCUGAUCCAGCCAUGCCGCGUGAGUGAUGAAGGCCCUAGGGUUGUAAAGCGCUUUUGUGCGGGAAGAUAAUGACGGUACCGAAAGAAUAAGCCCCGGCUAACUUCGUG
rnacentral:rRNA from 1 species